rnacentral:rRNA from 1 species
AGCAGCCGCGGUAAUUCCAGCUCCAAUAGCGUAUAUUAAAGUUGUUGCAGUUAAAAGUUCGUAGUUGAAUUUCGGGGUUCUACCGUUGGUCAGGCUAUUGUCUGUACUGGCGUGUAGAAUUUCUACCUUCUGGGGAACCAUCAUGUUAUUAAUUUAGCGUGAUGGAACGAGAACCUUUACCUUGAAAAAUUAGAGUGUUCAAAGCAGGCUUACGUCUGAAUACAUUAGCAUGGAAUAAUAGAAUAGGACGGUGGUCCUGUUUUGUUGGUUUCUGAAUCACCGUAAUGAUUAAUAGGGAUAGUUGGGGGCAUUAGUAUUCAAUUGUCAGAGGUGAAAUUCUUGGAUUUAUUGAAGACUAACUACUGCGAAAGCAUUUGCCAAGGAUGUUUUCAUUAAUCAAGAACGAAGUUAGGGGAUCGAAGACGAUCAGAUACCGUCGUAGUCUUAACCAUAAACUAUGCCGACUAGGGAUCGGACGAUGUUAAUUUUUCUUG